rnacentral:tRNA from 1 species
CGGGAUGUGGCGCAGUUGGUAGCGCACCCGGCUGGGGGCCGGGAGGUCGCUGGUUCAAGUCCAGUCAUCCCGA